GGGCGUGUGGUGUAGUCCGGCUUAACACAUCCCCCUGUCACGGGGAAGAUCGCCAGUUCAAAUCUGGUCGCGCCCG
rnacentral:tRNA from 1 species